CUUGGAAGUGGUGGCGGUCCUUUGGGGAUGAAUCUGAAGAAGCAGAGAAAUCGAGCACCACCCCUUUGCUUUGAAGCUCCUCAACGGGUAAGGGCGGGGCCUUCAUCUGAAGAGAGGCUCGCGCACCAAACAAGCAACAACACGAAAAAAAUGC